UACGUAGGGUGCGAGCGUUAAUCGGAAUUACUGGGCGUAAAGCGUGCGCAGGCGGUUUUGUAAGCCGGAUGUGAAAUCCCCGGGCUUAACCUGGGAAUGGCAUUCGGGACUGCAGGGCUGGAGUGCGGCAGAGGAGACUGGAAUUCCUGGUGUAGCAGUGAAAUGCGUAGAUAUCAGGAGGAACACCGAUGGCGAAGGCAGGUCUCUGGGCUGACACUGACGCUCAUGCACGAAAGCGUGGGGAGCAAACAGG
rnacentral:rRNA from 1 species